rnacentral:rRNA from 1 species
GUGAACGCUGGCGGCGUGCUUAACACAUGCAAGUCGAGCGAUAUUUGACAGCGUAUCGUCAGGUAUAGCGGCAGACGGGUGAGUAAUACUUGGGCAAUCUGCCCUUGAGUGGGGGACAACCUGCCGAAAGGCGGGCUAAUACCCCAUAAGACCACAGGGAUGCAUAUUCCAGGGGUCAAAGCUCCGCAAGGGGCGCUUGAGGAGGAGCCCGAGUCCUAUCAUGGUAGUUGGCGGGGUAAUGGCCCACCAAGCCGUUGACGGUAGCCGGCCUGAAAGGGCAAACGGCCACACUGGCAC